AGCGAACGCUGGCGGCAGGCCUAACACAUGCAAGUCGAACGAACUCUUCGGAGUUAGUGGCGGACGGGUGAGUAACACGUGGGAACGUGCCUUUUGGUUCGGAAUAACUCAGGGAAACUUGUGCUAAUACCGAAUGUGCCCUUCGGGGGAAAGAUUUAUCGCCAUUAGAGCGGCCCGCGUCUGAUUAGCUAGUUGGUGAGGUAACGGCUCACCAAGGCGACGAUCAGUAGGUGGUCUGAGAGGAUGACCAGCCACACUGGGACUGAGACACGGCCCAGACUCCUACGGGAGGCAGCAGUGGGGAAUCUUGCGCAAUGGGCGAAAGCCUGACGCAGCCAUGCCGCGUGAAUGAUGAAGGUCUUAGGAUUGUAAAAUUCUUUCACCGGGGACGAUAAUGACGGUACCCGGAGAAGAAGCCCCGGCUAACUUCGUG
rnacentral:rRNA from 1 species